CCUACGGGUGGCUGCAGUAAGGAAUAUUGCGCAAUGGGCGACAGCCUGACGCAGCGACGCCGCGUGGGGGAUGAAGGUCUUCGGAUUGUAAACCCCUUUCGGGAGGGAAGAUGGGAUGGGUAACCAUUCGGACGGUACCUCCAGAAGCAGCCACGGCUAACUUCGUGCCAGCAGCCGCGGUAAUACGAAGGUGGCAAGCGUUGUUCGGAUUUACUGGGCGUACAGGGAGCGUAGGCGGUUGGGUAAGCCCUCCGUGAAAUCUCCAGGCUUAACCUGGAAAGUGCGGAGGGGACUGCUCAGCUAGAGGAUGGGAGAGGAGCGCGGAAUUCCCGGUGUAGCGGUGAAAUGCGUAGAGAUCGGGAGGAAGGCCGGUGGCGAAGGCGGCGCUCUGGAACAUUUCUGACGCUGAGGCUCGAAAGCGUGGGGAGCAAACAGGAUUAGAUACCCUAGUAGUCC
rnacentral:rRNA from 1 species